rnacentral:lncRNA from 1 species
GAGUAGCUGGCUUGUAAUAAUCAAACUCAGGGCUGAAAUCAACCAAAUAGAAACAAAAAGAACUAUAGAAAGAAUCAACAAAACCAGGAGCAGGUUCUUUGAGGAAAUCAGCAAGAUAGAUAAACCCUUAGCCAAAAUAAUGAAAGGGCACAGAGACAGUAUCCAAAUUAAUAAAAUUAGAAAUAAAAGGGGAGAUGUAACAAUAGAAACCAAGGAAAUUCAAAAAAUCAUCAGUUCCUACUACAAAAGUCUAUACUCAACAAAAUUGGAAAAUCUGGAAGAAAUGGACAAUGCUUUAGAUAGAUACCAAAUGCCAAAGUUAUAUCAGGAUCAGAUAAACCACAAAACAGUCCCAUAAUCCCUAAAGAAAUAGAAGCAGUCAUUAAAAGUCUCCCAACGCACCCCCACAAAAACAACCCAGGACCAGAUGGGCUUAGUGGAGAAUUCUACCAGACCUUCAAAGAAUACCUAAUAUCAAUAGUCUUCAAACUAUUCUACAAAAUAGAAACAGAAGGAACACUACCCAAUUCAUUCUAUGAACUCACAAUUAUGCUUAUACCUAAACCACACAAAGACCAAAAAAAGAAACAGAACUUCAGACCACUUUCCCUUAUGAACAUCAAUGCUAAAUACUCAAUAAAAUUCUUGCAAACUAAAUCCAAGAACAUAUCAAAAAGAUCAUUCACCAUGAUCAAGUAGGCUUCAUCCCAGGGAUGCAGAGAUAUUUCAAUACACAGAAAUCCAUCAAUGUAAUCCACUACAUACAGAAACUCAAAGAAAAAAAAACAUAUGAUUAUUUCACUAGAUGCUGAAAAAAUGCAUUUGACAAAAUUCAACAUCCCUUCAUGGAAAAAUCUAGAAAGAUCAGGAAUUCAAAACCCAUACCUAAACAUAGUAAAAAGCAAUAUACAAGAAACCAGCAGCCAACAUCAAUCUAAAUGUGGAGAAACUUGAAGCAAUCCUGCUAAAAUCAGGGACUAGACAAGGCUGUCUUUCUCUCUCUCUCUCUCUCUCUCUCUCUCUCUCUCUCUCUCUCUCUCUCUCUCUCUCUCUUCAAUAUAGUACUUGAAGUUCUAGCUAGAACAAUCAAACAACAAAAGGAGGUCAAAGGGAUACAAAUUGGAAAGGAAGAAGUCAAAAUAACACUAUUUGUAGACAAUACAAUAGUAUAAAUAAGUGACCCAAAAAUUCCACCAGAGAACUCCUAAAGUUGAUAAUCAACUUCAGCAAAGUGGCUGAAUAUAAAAUUAACUCAAAUAAAUCAAUAGCCUUCCUUUAUUCAAAGGAUCAACAGACUGAGAAAAAAAUUAGGGAAACAACGCCCUUACAAUAGUCAAAAAUAGUAUUACAUACCUUGGUGUGACUUUAACCAAGCAAGUGAAAGAUCUGUAUGACAAUAACUUCAAGUCUCUGAAGAAAGAAAUCAAAGAUCUUAGAAGAUGGAAAGAUCUCCCAUGAUCAUGGAUUGGCAGGAUUAAUAUAGUAAAAAUGGCCAUCUUGCCGAAAGCAAUCUAGAGAUUCAAUAAAAAAUUCCAAUUCAAUUUUCAUAGAGUUUAGAGCAAUUUGCAAAUUUAUUUGAAAUAACAAAAAACCCAGGAUAAUGAAAACUAUUCUCAACAAUAAAAGAACUUCUGGGGCAAUUACUAUCCCUGACCUCAAGCUGUACUACAGAGCAAUAGUGAUAAAAAAACAAACAAACAAACAAACAAACAAAAACUGUAUGAUAUUAGUACAGAGACAGACAGGUAGAUG